rnacentral:rRNA from 1 species
CAUCUGGCCUAACACUGACGCUGAGGUGCGAAAGCAUGGGGAGCAAACAGGAUUAGAUACCCUGGUAGUCCAUGCCGUAAACGAUGUCUACUAGCCGUUGGGGCCUUUGAGGCUUUAGUGGCGCAGCUAACGCGAUAAGUAGACCGCCUGGGGAGUACGGUCGCAAGACUAAAACUCAAAUGAAUUGACGGGGGCCCGCACAAGCGGUGGAGCAUGUGGUUUAAUUCGAUGCAACGCGAAGAACCUUACCUGGCCUUGACAUAGUAAGAACUUUCCAGAGAUGGAUUGGUGCCUUCGGGAACUUACAUACAGGUGCUGCAUGGCUGUCGUCAGCUCGUGUUGUGAGAUGUUGGGUUAAGUCCCGCAACGAGCGCAACCCUUUUCCUUAUUUGCCAGCGAGUAAUGUCGGGAACUUUAAGGAUACUGCCAGUGACAAACUGGAGGAAGGCGGGGACGACGUCAAGUCAUCAUGGCCCUUACGGCCAGGGCUACACACGUGCUACAAUGGUCGGUACAAAGGGUUGCUACCUAGCGAUAGGAUGCUAAUCUCAAAAAGCCGAUCGUAGUCCGGAUUGGAGUCUGCAACUCGACUCCAUGAAGUCGGAAUCGCUAGUAAUCGCGGAUCAGAAUGCCGCGGUGAAUACGUUCCCGGGCCUUGUACAUACCGCCCGUCACACCAUGGGAGUUUGUUGCACCAGAAGUAGCUAGCCUAACUGCAAAGAGGGCGGUUACCACGGUGUGGCCGAUGACUGGGGUGAAGUCGUAACAAGGUAGCCGU